AUUGAACGCUGGCGGCAGGCCUAACACAUGCAAGUCGAGCGAGCGGCGGACGGGUGAGUAAUGUCUGGGAAACUGCCUGAUGGAGGGGGAUAACUACUGGAAACGGUAGCUAAUACCGCAUACCAUCGGAUGUGCACAGAUGGGAUUAGCUAGUAGGUGGGGUAACGGCUCCACUAGGCGACGAUCCCUAGCUGGUCUGAGAGGAUGACCAGCAAAACGGGAACUGCGAACCGGUCCAGACUCCUACGGGAGGCAGAAGUGGGGAAUAUUGCACAAUGGGCGCAAGCCUGAUGCAGCCAUGCCGCGUGUAUGAAGAAGGCCGUCGGGUUGUAAAGUACUUUCAGCGGGGAGGCGUUACCCGCAGAAGAAGCACCGGCGAACUCCGUGCCAGCAGCCGCGGUAAUUC
rnacentral:rRNA from 1 species